rnacentral:rRNA from 1 species
CACAAUGGGCGCAAGCCUGAUGCAGCGACGCCGCGUGAGCGAAGAAGGCCUUCGGGUCGUAAAACUCUUUUCUGCGUGACGAGAAGGGACGGUAGCGCAGGAAGAAGUCUCGGCUAACUACGUGCCAGCAGCCGCGGUAAAACGUAGGAGACAAACGUUAUCCGGAGUUACUGGGCGUAAAGGGCGUGCAGGUGGUCAUUUAAGUUCGGCGUGAAAGCGCCUGGCUAAACCGGGCGAGGUCGUCGGAGACUGGAUGGCUAGAGGGUGAUAGAGGCGGGUGGAAUUCCGGGUGUAGUGGUGAAAUGCGUAGAGAUCCGGAGGAACACCAGUGGCGAAGGCGACCCGCUGGGUCACACCUGACACUGAGACGCGACAGCAUGGGGAGCGAACGGGAUUAGAAACCCCGGUAGUCCAUGCCGUAAACGAUGCCAACUCGAUGUCUGGGAUGGGAAACUGUCCUGGGUAUCUCAGCCAACGCGGUAAGUUGGCCGCCUGGGGAGUACGGUCGCAAGGCUA